AAAAAAGAAAAGGGAAUGUUAGUUAGAAACCUCUUACACUUUUAAUUUGGGGAGUGGGGAGGGUUAAAUUCUAUGCUCUGAAGCACUAAACCAAUAGAUUUGAGCCUCUGUUGGCCAUUUAAAUUGCUGAGAAAUGAACCGGAAUGUUCUGCAUGCUGUAAGGACUGUAGCAACGUACCGCUGUUGAUGUCCUGGCUGUUGGAGUAUGGUGAUUUUCAUUAUAUUUAUGUUGAUGCUUGGCAACAGCUUUAUCUGAGAAGGCAGCACUGCUAACAAAUUUGGGUUGCUUUGCAGAAUCGUUUUAUUAAUUUACAGAAUCUGACCAUCCCUCGACACCGGGUUAGCUUCCUUCAUCCUGCCCAUUCACUCCCUCUGGGGACCUGAGGCUUACUGCUUCAACUCUUCACUGAUGUUGCAGUUGACAUCUGACAAUAUACAAGGCUGUACAUUUUUUUUUUCAGCUUGCACGGAUUUUUCACUCUUAUAAAUUUAGCAUGUAGAAAGCUUUUGAUUUGUAAAGAAAGCUCUUAAAUUACUUGUUUUGUAUUAGCAGAUUAUUGCUUUGCCUUAGAGACCACAGUGUAUGUAAAAUCACAUUCUCUUAGUGCCAGCCAGCGCAGGAUGGGAUCCAAGUCUGCUUUGAAAAGAAGCCAUUUCUAGAAAUUCAGCAAAUCUUUCAGCUGUCUUGGCAAAUCCAGUCUGUAUGGCUUCAUGUUCCUUCUUUUUUGUUCUCUCAGUCUUCAUUGUUUACAAGACUUGAGCAUGUUGGGAUGUGAAUCCACGUUACUCAGUUUUCCAUUUCUGGGCACAGUGUGCUUUCCUGAAGAGAGAGUUGUUUGCAAGAGUGAUUUUUCAGAGUACAGUGUUUUGUCUGAAGUGUAUUAUUUUACCACAUUUUAAAUGAACAGUCGGGUCCCUGGUUUUGCAAACAGAUUUCUUUUGGCAGACCCUCACGUGCAGAGUCCUGUGCUAGUCACUGAAGUUCUCCAUGGACAUGGAGUCUGCAUAAAGAGUCUACGUGUUUAGGCUUUUGAGCUGCUUCUUGCCAGUCACGAAUGUUUCGCUUUCCAGAUGAUUGCUUGCCCUGUAGUCUAAAGCUUCCCCUUAUUAAAGAUGUAAAAUCUUUAAAAGUGCCUAAGUCCUGUUGUUACCCAAUAAGGUUUAAGAACGAAAGAAGAACUGUUAUUUAGGAACAGAAUACACUUAAAUUCUGUGUGGUGUAUAGCAGUGUCGGGAAAUAAGUUUGUAGUUCUUGGAAGAACUGUCCAUCUCCUACAGGCUCGCCCUUCUUGUUAGGUUCUCGUGGUCUUCAGAGGUCAUGGCUGAAAGCUCUGGAAAAUGGAGAUCUUGCGGUCAGAGCAGUUGGAUGUCUGUGAAUGCCUUAUCUUGUUCUGUGUGAUAUAGCUGAAAGUGUGUGGCGCUGGUGUGUAACAAAAAUUGUGUCAAAAAUAGGUGCAGUAGAAUCCAGUGAAAGAUACUGUUAAAUAAGUAGCUCUUACAUCAAACGUUAUGAAACACUAUUUUACACCAGAACAUGGGUGUUUGGAUGCUUGGUAAAGAAAAUAGAAGACUGCAAGAAGGUUACAAUGUUGAACGUUCUCUGUGAGUGUGUGUGUGUGUGUGUGUAUAUAUAAAUACUCUCAGCUUAAUUUUAUCGAACAAACACAUGUUGCAUGGUUUGUUUUUUGCCUCAUUGAUCAUCAGUGUUGAUUAAAAGAUGCUGGGUUGGAAAUCUUGCUGGUACUAUAUUGAGCCCUAGAAACAAAGUGCAAGGAGAACCUUUGUGCACCAAAAACAGUUGAUUUUGUGUAUGGCAGCAGCGAAGAAGGUGUUGGACCCUGCAGCCAAUAAACAGACCUCUUAAACGAC
rnacentral:lncRNA from 1 species